ACCUGUGUGGGGGAAACAAGAGCAGGAGGUGAACUGUGUUGACAGACUCGCAGAUGAAUAUGGAGCCAAGUAUAGGAAUAGAUUGAAACCCCGGGACCUGAUUUUCCUUCCUUUCAUAUUCUCGGAGAUUGAUUUCUAUGUCACAGAAUUAGCAUUCUAAGUUAAGAACCGAAACCAAAGGAGCCUUCUCUCCGUGUCAGCUGAUUCCCAACACAGGUAACGCUGUAAUCAAAUAGUUUCAGGCUUUUCCUCACUUCUUUUUUUCCAGUUCCUCUUCCCCACCCUGCCCCCAGUCUCGCUCCUGGCAGGCACAGAGUCCUGGACAAUCAGACCAUUGUCUAAAGCUCUCCGCAGCCUCAUUCUCCUACAGAUCCAAUGCAGGCACUCCUCACGUAGCCCCAGACAUGGCUAUUUCACUUGCAUCCACCUAAGGCUCUGUGUUCUCGGCAGGUGUUUCAUGAAGCUUCGCUAGGCACUACAAUGGUAUACACCCCAAGAGCCAAGGAGCAAAGCAAACCCACCACACCUCUUUGUUCCUUGGGAUCCAGGCGAGAUAGCUAAAAAAGAGUUUAAAAAACAGUGCUCAGGACAAGCCUGUCGAGUAGCUUUAAGGCUGACCACACGGCACGGGUUUAAGAAAACUGCUUUUUCUCCAUGCUUUUUACUGUUAGUUUGAAUACAAUAGACGCGUUCUUAAAGUGUGUUAAUAUCUUUUCUAAGCACAGGCUAUUUUCCCUGUAGAGGCAGGCAAUGCAGCAAUCGGUACGAGAAAUCCACAGAGACACCACAGAACCAGGAGGCAAACAAUGCUCGGGACGCCUGGUAAAUUCACUCAGGCAAAAAGCACAUCCCAGAAGUCCUUCUCCAGACACACUCCAAUUGGAGAGGAGCUUUUUUAGCAUUUCAGAACAGCCGCUUCAAACUGUUAAUUCCAUUUUCCUUGUAUUCUUUCACUUGCAUACAUAAUAAUUUUGGUCGUUUCAUUACUUCUCGAUACCAGGCACAGAUGAUGUUGACAAGCUAUGUGCUAUAAUAGAUUAUAAAUCUCUCUUAUUUUAGUUCUUUUUUUGUUUUGUUUUGUUUUGUUUUGUUUUGUUUGUUUGCUUUUAGGUUAGUGGUUCCUAUCUGGGCGGCAGCAAAACAGAUUUACAUAACCCAACAAAGGAGACACUGAUUGAGGAGAGCGGCGCUGUAUCCAUCACAGCCAAGUUGCUGCUGUCCUUAAUGGAUUUUAACACACAAAAGCUAUUGCACCUAUGGGAUGGUCCUGUUGUGAAGUGCAGGCGGUAGCGGUGCAUAUCAAAGCCCCAGCUGCUGCCAAUGCGUGGUGGGAUGAAGGCAGCAUCCAGCCUGCCCACACCGAGCCCCAUGCCAUGGGUUGGGAGCACGCUGCCGAAGUGCUCGCAGUUCUACCACAGCUAUUUGCUGCUUUUAACUCACAUUUUUUUUUUCACUCUUUCGUGGAAGCAGUAUUUUGUGCUGCUGAGGAAAGUUGAUUUCCUCAUUGCUCUGUUUUCCAAGCAAAAUGAAGAAAACUCGAGUCAUCAUCUUUGCAAGGAAGCACACUUAGCAAAUUAAAUGCCAAGACUUUGCAAGUUGCUGUUAUUUGCAGUGUCAAGCAGCUGGAGCAUUUUUUGCUUAUAAACAUACAGACGGCUGCGUUGUCAGACAGAUUGAAGAGAGUCAGGUAGCGACUUGCAUCGCACUGCGCAGAGGUUUUAAGGGUCUCUUAAUUUGUGCAGGGUGGAGGUUGCCAGCAGGCAUAUUAAUGUUCUAUUUAUCUGUGUUUGCGUUUGUGUUUGUCUUUGCUUCUGUGCUGAUGAUGGCUUUGGAAGCAAAUCAGCUGCUCUGUAAUGCACAGCGGUGGCUCCAGCAGUCGUGUGUAGGAACUGCUGACACUGAGCAGCCCACUACGUCGGGGACAUGGUAUUUAUCCUCUGCAGAGAGAAAGGGCUCUUUGUGCCUGGGUAAUAAUGCAGGUAGUCCUCCUCAGUAAACUCUAUCCUGAGGUGAAGAUUUAGAACAACCAAGGCAGUGACUCAGGAAAGAAACCUCAAAAGAGAGAUUCCCAUGAAACCACUAAGCCCCGUUUAUAGGUGUUCUUGGUCUGUGGAAGCACACGUUUUUGCUUUUAAUAGCGUUUUUAGUGCUACAUAAUGGAGCAUAAAUUAAUACUCUGUUGGAUAUGGACUUCUCAAAAUCCUGUCUUCUGUUCAUAAUCUUCCAAUAAAAGUUUAUUUUGAACUAAAAGUUGGGGCUGGAAGUCAAACUGGGCUGGGUGAAAUCUACAAAUGCAACAAGGAAGGAACAGCAGUACUGCAGCACUGUUUCUUAAGAUUUCUUAAACAUUCCCUUAAGAAAGAAAGGAAGAAAAACCCAAAACCUCACAGUGUAACAAACACUAGUCCAGUGGUUGGUGACCUUGCCCAAACACUGGUCUAGUGAUUGGUGACCCUGCCCGUGGCAGGGGGGUUGAAACUAGAUGAUCUCUGAGGUCCUUUUCAACCCAGGCCAUUCUAUGAUUCUAUGAUUCUCUGAAAAAUAAAAUACUGCUGUUGAGACUGUGAUGAAAUGCACUCCCCACCUUGUUUCUGUACUGCGUGGGUUCAGCUUUAUCUUGUUUAUUCUCUCCAUCCCCAGGGAGUAAGACACAGUGCCGGCGCUCUCCAAGGUGGGGCUCUGUGCCCCAAUCCCGUGUUGGGCCGGAGCUGGGGACUCAUCCAAACCCACUCACUCACAGCAGGCUUAGCUCAAGGUUGGAUCCUCAAGGGACGGGCAGCAGCUGGCCUUUGGCACCGCCUGCAAAAGGGAAUCUUCCUCCCACUGCCGGUGAAUGGCUUCAGAGCCCCUUUACACCGUGGAUUCACUGUCAACAUACUUUUGUUUUGACUUAGUGACUGAAAUAAAGUGAUUAUUCCCCUUUUCCACCAGUAUUAUGUCUGUGUCAUAGUGGAUUUGGACAUUCCUUUUCAGGUAUUUAUAUAGCAAAAAAUCCAGCACCAAUGGCCUGUCUACUUGGAUUUUCUUCCCUUGAUUGAGUCGUCUCAACCGGGUUGACAAAAACCCAUUUUAAGCAACUUUAGAAGUGGUUGAGUUCAGUCAAACCAUGCAGAGUGUGACACGAGCCUGCCCACAAGUAUCAGAGUCCCAUGCAGGCUGUCACCCUACCCACCUUGCUGCUGCUGGAGCUGGAACCUACCACCAAAAAUCACUGCUUCAUUCUUGAGCCCCUCUCUUCAUUCUCCCUAGUUUAAUUUGGUAGGAUGUUGGCAAAGCUGUCCUGGGCAAUUUUUGCAUCUAUUUUCUUUUAAACCAUUAUUUGGACACAAUGGUUUCUGGCCCUACUAAUGCAAUUCAUAAUUCCCUUCUCCAUGUGUGAUAUGCCAAAGGACCUCUAGUUAUCCUGUGACAAGAAGAACCAUCUGCAUGGUUCCUGUCCUAAGGUCUGCAUCACAGAUCACACUGACUUGUAAAGCAGUUUUUGAGAAUAAAGGAUUAUAUUCAUGGAUCAUGUGGAAGAAGAAUACAGGGACAGAGAACAUAGAAUGUUUAUUGCCAACUCGUACCAUGCCCUCUUUCAGUCUGUGAUUUCAGUCUUAAUCAAGAAAACAGCUGUAGAACAAAAUGGGUCAGAAUAUUACCAGAUGAGCAGAACUUGCUGCACACUGGUUUCAAUUUGACCGAUCUUUAUGCAAAAGCACUUUCACAAAUGAGUGUGUAACUUCAGAUAGAAACUUGUGGUAAAAUCUUCAGUGUAUUGCCAGGACUUUCACUUGAGGUUUGAAAUCAGUGGCCAUGGCAUAGAAGAGAACAGAAAGUGCAGAUUGCAAUAGAAAGUUGUAUUUUAAGUCAUAGAUGGUAAAUCCUAGAAAAAAUAUAUAUACAAAAAAUUGAUACGAUUCUUUUCGUGUCAUGAGGAGGCAAAGAAAUCAUACAAAGUGUAGUGAAAAAGACCUGAUGCAUUGGGUAUAUUUCUCUUGUUUUCCCAGUAUCAGACAAUACUAAAGCAGGUGAAAAAUACCUUCUUACAGCUGGUGAGCAUCGGUACAUUUAUUAGCAUUUUGUAUUACAAAAAAUUACCUCUACAACUGCUGAGAAUGUUUAAAUGCAAUAUGGCUUUUGUCCAUCCCUGUUCUAAACAGCCUCGCCUUUUUAAAUCUGUGAAAGAUUAAACUGUGCACAAUCCAAAUUUUCCUUCUUUAAUGAUCAGGACUAAAAUUCAGUUUUUAUUCACAGAGCUGAAGACGGCAUCAAAUAAAUAAAGAUCAUUUAGAGAGCCCUCAGAGAGGACCUUUGCAUAUUCAUGGGCUGAAUUAUUUAAAUACAGGAGGUAGUUAUUUGAUAGUAAGGAUUCUACUUAUUAGGAUCAAUGAGUGUUGUGAGAAUAAGCAAGAAGAAAUCAUAAGUUUUUAUUUUGCCUUGGACAGAAGGAGAUCACAUUUGCUAUUUACGGUGUACAAUCUCUCAGUUAGCAAUCUUGGCAAAGGUUUAUCUAGUUAUUCGGAAUAAUGUCCUCCCAGAUAUGACACUAUCACUGUGCCUGCUACAGAACUGUCCCCGCAGUUUCCUCGGCCAUUUACCUGUGUGUUGUCACACUCAUUCCUGCUGAUUUGUGUCACAAGAAAAAAAGUAGGUUUCAAAAUUAAAGCUUCAUGUGGAAUGAUAUGAAGUGUGAAAUCCAGACCCAUUGCUUUCAUUCUGGCUUUAGUGAUCACAGAAACCUGCUGUAGGGCAGGAGUAAUCUGCCAGAAAAUUAUUAUUGAGCCCUGGUAACUCAGAUAUAUGUGCAGACAUGAAAAUGUUGCUUUUUGUGCCAACUCUAGGUCCUAUAAGAACCUUGCAUGCCAUCUUCCACCUGGCUUGAAAAUAUGCUGCAUUCCACUGUAAAGGAGAGGAAGUUUGUUAAUUCCCAGGCAGCUGUGAACAAUUUAAUCUCUUUCCAGACAGCCCGGCAUCCCAUUCCAAUUGUGGAGCUUCUUGGGGGAUGGAGAGUUUGAAGAGCUGGUGAGAGAUAAUAGGGCCUUUAUUCCAAGGUCAUUCCUAUGAGUUUGGCCUUGACAGUAACAUCUUGAUAAGAGGGUUGCCAAUUCAAGCAGUCUCAUAAUAGGAUUUUUGAAGCUUCUUCCUCCAUAUGCUGGAAUGGAGGGCUUGAAACUUAGUGUUUGGAGCCUCAAAUGACUGCUCUGUUAAACCUAGGAAAUUAGCUGGAGAAGCAUAGUUCAAAAAGGAAAAAAUCCUGCGAUUUUUAAGAUGAUAGAGUUCUUAUUCUGAACACUGCUUGUUGGCACGCCUGGGAUUUCCCAAUCUGCCUGUGAGGGCUGAGCUGGUAAUUUGCCUUGGGUUUCUUGACAAGACUCUAAGUUACUGAGCUCUUCUCCUCUCAAGGCUUCUCUAUGUAUAUUCAAAAAUACAGAAAACUCCAAACAAAUGCACCAGUCUUCUUGUUCUCUCUUUGGGAAUUUAUUUUGAAAAAUCAAAGAAUCACAAAGAAUUGCCGUAAAACACUAAUGCCCACUUCCCAGAACCAAUAACUUUGCUCUGGCUUCUAGAAAGUCUCCAAACCUAAAAAAAA